UACGUAGGUGGCAAGCGUUGUCCGGAUUUACUGGGCGUAAAGCGCGCGUAGGCGGCUUUGUAAGUUAGAGGUGAAAGCCCGGAGCUCAACUCCGGAAUUGCCUUUAAGACUGCAUCGCUAGAAUCAUGGAGAGGUUAGUGGAAUUCCGAGUGUAGAGGUGAAAUUCGUAGAUAUUCGGAAGAACACCAGUGGCGAAGGCGACUUACUGGACACAUAUUGACGCUGAGGUGCGAAAGCGUGGGGAGCAAACAGG
rnacentral:rRNA from 1 species